UUCUCCCCAGGUGCCGGCUACACACUUAAACAAGACAUUUUAAGAUUCAACCUUCCGCUUGGUCUCUCCUGGUUUCUUACCAGCAUUCACUCGCUUGCAACAGAGGAUGCCUUACGCAGCGCCUCUUCCUGCCAUCAGCAUGGGGACCAGGCUGCUUUCCUGGGCCUAGAAGUCAUUACACAAAACCCUUCUUUCGUUCAAAACAGAUCCUCACUGUGGAGAACCUUUGGUUCUCAGGUGAAACCGGCGCCUCUGUAAAUAGCUGCUGGGGAAAACUGCUUUCGUGGGUGGAAGCGAGGCUGGUGUGUGAGUUUUAGCAUCAACAACCAUCUGCUCUUGGCUGUGGCAGAGGUUUCCAUGCCGUAUACCCUGCAAUGGAGGAAUUCCCUUUUCAGUCCUGCUGUGAGCAAGAAGAGAGAUCCCAGCAGGGCGUGCUUUGUCAGGAGCAGCUUUUAUUCAUGGAUUGGAUCUCCUUGCUAAUCUAGGUUCUGAUGGAAAAGAGACAGGCAGCCCCUGACAUCAGGGAGCCACAUGGCACACCCAGCCUGGUCUUGGCGUUCUCCUGCUGAGCACAAAUGACGUCACAGAACAUCAGCAUCCGCAUCAGACUGUGCCCACCACAGAGUAAGACCAAAACCACCCAUGGCGCAUCUGAACACAGAUCAACCGAAGAACCAAGCCACAGAAUGACAAUCACCCACCAUCCUGGCUGACAGGAGUGCAUCCCCACCAGACUGUGCCAGGUGGUGGAGGGAAGAUCGCGCCUGAGGCGUGGCAGUUCUGCUGUCCCCCAGGGGAAGGUUGUCCUUAUCCCCUCGCUGGGUAUUCUGCCAACUUCUAGAGUGGACGAGCUCAUGUUCUGUUCCCUCUCUGCUAGUCAGGGCCUGGUUUUGUCCAUGUGCCUCCUCCAGGUUCAGAAGAGCAACUGAGUCCCCUGAGCCUCUGUCCUGUCCUUCAGCUGAUGCCGGUAGAAUCCAGUUCAGCCCCCCAGGGUGUGGCCUCAGCCACUGGUCCUGGCCACCUGGGAGCUUCCAGAGACUCAACGAUUCAAACCCAAAGCACUCUCUUUGACCAUGCCGCUGACCCUCUGAAAUAUGUUGGGCCACCUUAUGUCUGUCUAGCAUAGCCCCCUUUCAGUCAGAUCCGGGAAGGGGAAAUGAGAACCACAGCUUCCCAUAAACUUCUCCCAUGGGUGAGGAGGGGGGCCCACCUACUCUCUUUACAUUAAAGUCCAUGGCCUAAUAAUCAUCAUCAUGAUAAUGGCCUCAUAGUCCCGGCCUGGCUCUUAGUGUGCUAAUCCUUUCUUACAAUCCUGCCUCGUCUUGGAGAGUGCACUAGUUCUGUGAAAUCCUACUUUGAAUUUCAUAAGCUGAAAUUGCUUUCUUUUCUUUGGAUUCCCUCUGUUUUCAUGUUAAUUUCAACCCUGCUGUUUCUCUGGGAGCCAAGGCUGAAGGAUGCCACACUCAGGGGAAAACAAAAGAAAAAAAGCUUUAGUAAUUUCCAACUCUUCCUCUCAUUCCAUUUAUCCCUUUGUUCCUUAUAGUGGGAGGGUCUGCCAGCGUAUGGGACUAGAGCAAGUAUGAAUGUCAUCUAUGCAAAACACCCCACGGUGGUAGCACAUCAUUAUAUUAAAGUUAAAAGGCAGGGGCAAGGGAAAACAGCCCUGUUUUUCUUUUUCAAUUUGGUUAAGUUUUAUUUUCCUGAUUCAUCCAGGAGACCUUUUCUCUAUAACUCUGAAUAUAAUUAACCCAGGAGUUGCGUAUAAACAUCAGCAACCAAGGACCUCUGUAAAUUUAUGAAAAUUAAUUGCAGCAUGUGCUGUUGAUGGACCACCCCGUACCUACUUCCUGCCACACGCACACACCUGAGUGUCCCUGGAGCUUUCGCAGACAGAUCCCUGCCCACUGACAGCUUCCCAGCUGUGUCUCACUGGUUCUCUGCCCACGAGGUUGCUGGGCACUGCACCUCAGGUCUUGUUCAGCCCAAGCUCAAGAAGCCCAGAAAUUCUGGGAUCUAACACUGACACCACCUUUGCAAAAAUCAUCACAGUGAGAAAAUUAUGGCAGUGAAAGAGAUUUGACCCA